rnacentral:rRNA from 1 species
UGCCAGCCGCCGCGGUAAUACGGAGGAUCCAAGCGUUAUCCGGAAUCAUUGGGUUUAAAGGGUCCGUAGGCGGUCUGGUAAGUCAGAGGUGAAAUCCUGCAGCUCAACUGUAGCAUUGCCUUUGAUACUGCCAGACUUGAGUUUUUGUGAAGUAGUUAGAAUGUGUAGUGUAGCGGUGAAAUGCAUAGAUAUUAGAAAGAACACCGGUGGCGAAGGCGCUCUACUGGAUCAUUACUGACACUCAGAGGCGAAAGCUAGGGUAGCGAAAGGGAUUAGAUA